rnacentral:rRNA from 1 species
CAGCCGCCGCGGGAAUACGAACCGUGCGAACGUUAUUCGGAAUCACUGGGCUUAAAGCGCGUGUAGGCGGAUGGGAACGUCGGUCGUUGAAAUCCCCCGGCUUAACCGGGGAAGUGGCGCCGAUACGACCCGUCUGGAGGAACGUAGGGGGAGCUGGAACUUCCGGUGGAGCGGUGAAAUGCGUUGAGAUCGGAAGGAACGCCCGUGGCGAAAGCGAGCUCCUGGACGUUUUCUGACGCUGAGACGCGAAAGCCAGGGGAGCGAACGGGAUUAGAUACCCCAGUAGUCCCUGUCUCUUAUA